rnacentral:rRNA from 1 species
GCACAUUCAAGUCGAACGGGCGUAGCAAUACGUCAGUGGCAGACGGGUGAGUAACGCGUGGGAACGUGCCCUUUGGUUCGGAACAACACAGGGAAACUUGUGCUAAUACCGGAUAAGCCCUUACGGGGAAAGAUUUAUCGCCGAAGGAUCGGCCCGCGUCUGAUUAGCUUGUUGGUGAGGUAAUGGCUCACCAAGGCGACGAUCAGUAGCUGGUCUGAGAGGAUGAUCAGCCACACUGGGACUGAGACACGGCCCAGACUCCUGCGGGAGGCAGCAGUGGGGAAUAUUGGACAAUGGGCGAAAGCCUGAUCCAGCCAUGCCGCGUGUGUGAAGAAGGUCUUCGGAUUGUAAAGCACUUUAAGUUGGGAGGAAGGGCAGUAAGUUAAUACCUUGCUGUUUUGACGUUACCAACAGAAUAAGCACCGGCUAACUUCGUGCCAGCAGCCGCGGUAAUACGAAGGGUGCAAGCGUUAAUCGGAAUUACUGGGCGUAAAGCGCGCGUAGGUGGUUCGUUAAGUUGGAUGUGAAAGCCCCGGGCUCAACCUGGGAACUGCAUCCAAAACCGGCGAGCUAGAGUAUGGCAGAGGGUGGUGGAAUUUCCUGUGUAGCGGUGAAAUGCGUAGAUAUAGGAAGGAACACCAGUGGCGAAGGCGACCACCUGGGCUAAUACUGACACUGAGGUGCGAAAGCGUGGGGAGCAAACAGGAUUAGAUAUCCUGGUAGUCCACGCUGUAAACGAUGUCGACUAGCCGUUGGGAUCCUUGAGAUCUUAGUGGGCGCAGCUAAACGCAUUAAAGUCGACCGUCUGGGGAGUACGGCCGCAAGGUUAAAACUCAAAUGAAUUGACGGGGGGCUCGCACAAGCGGUGGAGCAUGUGGUUUAAUUUC